GACGAACGCUGGCGGCGCGCUUAACACAUGCAAGUCGAACGGAAAGGCCUGCUUUCCCUUGUGGAUUGCGGGUACUCGAGUGGCGAACGGGUGAGUAACACGUGAGUGAUCUGCCCCCAACUUGGGUAUAAGCCUGGGAAACUGGGUCUAAUUCCCGAUAGGACUGCAGGGUGGUGCCUGUGGUGGAAAACGAUUUUCUAGUGGUUGGGGAUGAGCUCGCGGCCUAUCAGCUUGUCGGUGGGGUAAUGGCCUACCAAGGCGGCGACGGGUAGCCGGCCUGAGAGGGUGGACGGCCACAUUGGGACUGAGAUACGGCCCAGACUCCUACGGGAGGCAGCAGUGGGGAAUAUUGCACAAUGGGCGGAAGCCUGAUGCAGCGACGCCGCGUGGGGGAUGACGGCCUUCGGGUUGUAAACUCCUUUCGACCGCGAGGAAGCCACCUGGUUGGAAGGGUGGUGACGGUAGUGGUAGAAGAAGCACCGGCUAACUACGUG
rnacentral:rRNA from 1 species